rnacentral:lncRNA from 1 species
AUGCGUCCACCCUUCCUCGCCGAAAAUAUUCCUCCUGUGACCAGAAUCACUUCAUAUCACCGGAAUUUUGCUGAAAAAUACAGCCUCUCCUUUGUUUCGCCCAUAGAAGGUUGUUAUUCCUCCAAAAAUCACGAAUCUUCCUUUAAAUCUGCUAUUCAAUGUGGUUGUUGUUUUUAUUUUCAAACUAAGUUUUUGAUAAUUCUUCUCAAGAUCUACUAA